GAGAGUUGGCGUAGGCGGUUGCAGACUAGUCAGUUUAUGACUGGUUUGAGGAAAGUCCGGGCUCCCGAAAGACCAAACUUGCUGGGUAACGCCCAGUGCGAGCGAUCGCGAGGAUAGUGCCACAGAAACAUACCGCCAAUAAGUCAUUUGUCAAUAGUCAUUAGUCAUUUGUAAAAAACAAAGGACAAAGGACAAAUGACAAAGGACAAAAUUGGUAAGGGUGCAAAGGUGCGGUAAGAGCGCACCAGCACGACCGAGAGGUCGUGGCUCGGUAAACCCCGGUUGGGAGCAAGGCAGAUGGAACUAUGGUUGGUCUUUUACCAGUUCCGCGAAAAAGAGCCGCUUGAGGCACCUGGUAACAGGUGUCCCAGAUAGAUAACCGCCCUCUACAAAAGAGAACAGAACCCGGCUUACUACCGACUCUCUCCC
rnacentral:RNase_P_RNA from 1 species